rnacentral:tRNA from 1 species
GCUCUCGUGGCCCAGUUGGUUAGUGCGUCGUACUGUACUUAUAAGCAGUGCGGGAGUAUAUACGAAGGUCGGGGGUUCGAACCCUUCCGGGAGCA